AUAUAUCUAGGCCUAUAUAGGCCUACACCAUGUACGAAGUAAAUAAAUACUUACAAACGUAGUGUUGUGAACUUAUUAAUAGCUAUAUUAUUAAAAAAUUAUUGAUUAUAAAUUAACUUACAUUGAUAUGUAUUAAGAAACUAAGAAACUGUUUAGAUAAUCACUUUUGUUUUAGUCAGUAAACUGAGUGGCGAGGCGUGUAAAGAUAUAGUUUGAAAAUUGGUUUGUUUGUGUGGUCUUUCAUAAUACAUUCUCCGCAAUAGUACUAUGGAGUUGUCUUUUCUGAUACACUUGCUGCAUGCUAUAGUCCCAAUUUGCCUCUGAUCGAUCUGCUUGUUAGCAACAAGCUCCGUAUAGUAUAUAGGCUAUAUGCUUUUCUCGAUCCAAUUAAAUGGAUCCAACCCGCCGUAAUUUAGGCAAUUAUGCUGCAAGUGAUUAGGCCUACGUGCAGAAAAACACGUCAAUAGCUGCCAAAUAAUUCAGUAAUUUUUCGGUCCUUGAUUCCACUAUAUGUUGUUUUCUUACGUCAUUCAAAAGCGUCUUUGCUUUUCUAUUCACACAAAAGCAUUCUUAUAACAGUUUAAUUAAAACUGGUGCCAAAACAAAAUGUUCAAAGGCAGCAAAAUAAAGGGAGCUGGAGUAGUUCAAAGUGGG